rnacentral:rRNA from 1 species
UGGGGAAUUUUGGACAAUGGGCGCAAGCCUGAUCCAGCAAUGCCGCGUGCAGGAUGAAGGCCUUCGGGUUGUAAACUGCUUUUGUACGGAACGAAACGGUUUUCUCUAAUACAGAGAGCUAAUGACGGUACCGUAAGAAUAAGCACCGGCUAACUACGUGCC